AAAAAGGGGCAAUGCCCAGAUUCGAACACAGGGUCUACACGCUCAACAAACAAACAACAAACCACUCCGCCAAUGACUUAAUGUUGCUCAAACUAUGUUUUUUUUAAAUAAAAUCAAGAGACAAUUUCGGUUUCUUUUUUUUUCCUUUUUGCGGCCAACCAUUCACAGCUAAGAAACAGUUUAAGUUUCCUUUUCUUCUUCGCUAAACUGCCGGAAUAACAGCCAUCCCGCGUUUCCCUUUUCUUUCGAUCAAUCAUUACCAAAAAGCCCGACCCUUUCCUUUAUUCGAUCCAAUCACCGACACCUUCCAUUCACACUACAAAUCAACAAUCGGUUACCAUAUUAUCAAGACCCAUCGAAACUCUAUAAAUACCGAGCCUUCCCUUUCGAUCACCUCACCUCUCGACACCCUCAUUCGACAACCCGACACCCCGCAUCUCCACACAUUCUGCUCGACAACACCAUGUUCGCCGGAGAAGACUAGUCGUCACCGGAGUUCACCGGAGAAACCCCGAAGCCCUCGGAGUAAACCGUUUCGCCGGAAUUGUUACGUCGGACCUCCGUUCUUCUUCGUUUCGGUUAAUCUCUCUUGUACGUUCUCUUGGAUUAUUCUCCAUCUUUACUCGUGCGUUAAUACAAGAAGCGCAACGCAAUCAAUGUUGAUGUUCAAGAAAUAAAGAAAUCAGGCUAGGAUGGAACUAGAAACCCAUUUUAGCAUAGCAUUUUAUUAUGUUUGAAUUUAUGAUGUACUUGAAAACAAUGUAUUCUCAUUUGAAAUUUAUGAAAUGAAUUUAAUUCA